rnacentral:rRNA from 1 species
UAGUCCACACCGUAAACGAUGAAUGCCAGUCGUCGGGUAGCAUGCUAUUCGGUGACACACCUAACGGAUUAAGCAUUCCGCCUGGGGAGUACGGUCGCAAGAUUAAAACUCAAAGGAAUUGACGGGGACCCGCACAAGCGGUGGAGCAUGUUGUUUAAUUCGAAGCAACGCGAAGAACCUUACCUACACUUGACAUACCUAUCGGGAAUUACAGAGAUGUUUUUCUUCGGUUCGGCCGGAUAGGAUACAGGUGCUGCAUGGCUGUCGUCAGCUCGUGUCGUGAGAUGUUAGGUUAAGUCCUGCAACGAGCGCAACCCUUACUGUCUGUUGCCAUCAUUAAGUUGGGCACUCUGACGGGACUGCCGGUGUUAAGCCGGAGGAAGGUGGGGACGACGUCAAGUCAUCAUGGCCCUUACGUGUAGGGGCUACAAACGUGCUACAAUGGCUGUUACAGUGGGCAGCGAACCGCGAGGGUAAGC